AGUAUGGAUGGUGCUAGUAAUAUGAGAGGUGUUAAUAAGGGAGUACAGGCUUUAAUAUUUAAAGAAGCUCCUAAAGCUAUUUAUGUCUGGUGCCAUGCUCAUAGGCUUAAUUUAAUUGUUAUUCGUAUAUGUGGAUAUGGGAAUGAAAUUAAAAAAACUAUGGGAAUUUUAGAUGAAUUAUAUAAUUUUAUGAAUGGAGUUAAACGCCAGGGUGUUUUUACCAAAUUUCAAAUGCAAAAAACCAAAAAAUCUCUCAAAAGAAUAAAAAACACAACAAGAAAUUGGGCAUCAUCUUUCAAAGCAUUACAAAAUUUUUUAGAUGUUUAUGAAUAUAUAAUAGCCUCCUUGACAGAGUUAAGCAAUUCCGAUGACGCAAUCACAUUUUCAAUUUCUGAGGGAUUGCUAUCUAGAAUAAAACGAUAUGAUUUUAUUUUAGGAUUAUUUAUUUUAAGAAUAAUCUUAAAAUGUACACAUGAAACUUGCAUUGAAAUGCAGGCAAUUGGAAAUGAUUUAGCAAUGAUGAUUAAAUUGAUCCAACAUACAAAAAAUAAAUUCCAAAGAUUAAGGGCAAAUGGUGAUAAUAUAUUAACAUCAUUACAUACCGAUGUUAAAUCAUUUAUGGAUAAGAAUAAUGUUACAAC